UUCAUGUCAAAUGUAUAA
rnacentral:snRNA from 1 species